rnacentral:lncRNA from 1 species
GCUUCUGGGAAGGAUGGUACCAGAACAGAAAGGCUGUGUUGCAGGUGGUGUAAGUGAAGUCUCAAGGUGUGUGUCUGAUAUUGGUAACUAUGAGAUACAAACCUGUGCACUUAGCACCUCCCUUUCUCACCUAAAUGGCUCUAAAGCUGCUGGUCAGUGUCCCUGCUGUUGUCAUGCUAGGAUCUUGGUAGGAGGUCAUCUGUGUCUCUGUGUCUGUGUGUUUGUGAAUUAGUGUCCUGUACCUGCUUUAAAUCACUGCUGAGAUGGGGUUUUGCAGUGCUUGCUUGUGGAAUUAGAUUGAGACCACCCAAUCAGCAAUUUAGAAAGCAGGCAGGGCAUUUGGGACAAAGUGGACACUUCUGGCAUGAGCUUCACCAUUUUACAUUGCAGCAUGGAAAUAAAUCCAACAUUGCCACAACAGAAACGUUUAUAUGAGAAGAGUGAUUAAGCUCUGUGCAUUUGUGUGAAGGGCUUUACUGCAAAAGUGGAAGGUUUUCUGUGACAGAGUAUAACAGAACUGUGUAGGUUUUUUUUCUUUCAGAUUCCUCCCAGCAUGAGUUGUCAGAACCAGGUGUGAAACCUGAAGUUGAGGUCACCCUUGAAGCUGAUGAUGGUGAUGACAACCUACCUCCUGACAAGAAGCUGAAGAAAAUUGAGUCUGGUAGUGAAGCUGCCAAUACUGGAAGAAGAACAGAAGUGUGCAGUUCCGAUUCCUCCCUGCAUGACUUCUCAGUGAUAGGAGACAGACCUGAGCUUGAAGUCACUGUUGAAGGUCAGCUCUUGUGGUCAUUGAUUUCAGCUGGUUGGGCAUUUUUUAUCAAAAUGUGCUUGCCAUACCCUACAGUUCUUGGCACUGAAGGAAGAGAGUUAUUGUGCCCAUGUUUGCAUUGUGCACUGCUUGGUAAACGUGCCUGGUGGAGAAGUAUUAGAAAACCAGAAUAUACUGAAGCAUGUUGGAGUUACUGGGCUUGUAUUAAAUGGUACCAGAGAGCAGAUUGCAUCCUUUGCAUAUUUUUCACGCAUUGGUAAUGAAAAAUAGUCAUUGAAUGGACCAGAUGUUCUAACAUUGAUUCAUUCUGGAGAGCACAUUGCUUUAUCAACUCCCUCUAGUUAUAUGUGUGACAUUUGUAGUUAGCACAGGCUUCUGGGAAGGAUGGUACCAGAACAGAAAGGCUGUGUUGCAGGUGGUGUAAGUGAAGUCUCAAGGUGUGUGUCUGAUAUUGGUAUGAGAUACCAAUUAAAUACUAUGAGAUACAAACCUGUGCACUUAGCACCUCCCUUUCUCACCUAAAUGGCUCUAAAGCUGCUGGUCAGUGUCCCUGCUGUUGUCAUGCUAGGAUCUUGGUAGGAGGUCAUCUGUGUCUCUGUGUCUGUGUGUUUGUGAAUUAGUGUCCUGUACCUGCUUUAAAUCACUGCUGAGAUGGGGUUUUGCAGUGCUUGCUUGUGGAAUUAGAUUGAGACCACCCAAUCAGCAAUUUAGAAAGCAGGCAGGGCAUUUGGGACAAAGUGGACACUUCUGGCAUGAGCUUCACCAUUUUACAUUGCAGCAUGGAAAUAAAUCCAACAUUGCCACAACGGAAACGUUUAUAUGAGAAGAGUCAUUAAGCUCUGCAUAUAUGUAAUGUUAUUUACCCCAAAAUUAGAAGUGUUCUGGAAAAGUUUUCUGUGACAGAGUAUAACAGAGCUGUAUAGGUACAGUGUAUGUGAAUAUCUGCUAAUGUUCUUGCUAAGUAAACCAUACCCUUGGUGACACGGUUACAUGUUUUUCUGUAUGUGAAAUUCAUUUUCUUUAUCUGCUCUAACCAUUUGUUUUCUCUGAGGCUGGAGGUAUUGAUAAUUGGGCAGUGUGCAAAGCUCAAUACCAUAGGAAGAUAGGGAUGGAUUGGGAAAUGAGUGUCUAAGUAGCAGCUCUCUGAGAGAUUGCUGGGUUUGCUGCUCUCCUGUCUGUCCUCUUGUGUGUGUUUAAGCUAGAGUUGACCUGUUAGAUGAAUUUUAUUGGCACCCAUUAGUUUUAAAGUGCUUUGAAAGUGGGUCUAGAAGAUUUGAGCUCUUUGAGACAAAACUGAGGUAGUGUCUUUUGAGAUCUGCUGGUGGGAUGAUGUUACUUCCAGUUGGAUAAAAAUGGUAGUCCCUAUCUGCACAAUUUAUUUUGUGAUUCCUUUUGGUCUUUCAUGAUUGUUUACUGAUCAUGCAAUGUCCAGCCAUGUUUCAGAAGACAGUGUUGUUUUUCUUAGGAAGUGCAGAAGCAGGUUGGG